UUUUAAGAUUAGGCUUAAAACUUUCCUUUUUGCUAAAGCAUAUAGUUAGGACAGGAUCAGGUGACCCUGAAUCCUCCCUUAGUUAUGCUGCAAUAGGUGUGAGCUGCAGGGGAUUCCCAUGAUGCAUUGAGUAUUUCCUUUUCAGUCACCUUUCUCAUUCACUAUGUGUUCAUAGGCCUCUCUGCACUGAAUCAUGCUUGUUAUUAAUCUCUGGCUCUCUUCCAAAGAGCCUUUUAUCCUGUCUUUCUUCUCUCACCCCAACCGACCCCGGCAGAUGGCCCCGCCCCUCCCUGAGCCUGGUUCUGCUGGAGGUUUCUUCCUGUUAAAAGGGAGUUUUUCCUUCCCACUGUCGCCAAAGUCCUUGCUCAUAGGGGGUCAUAUGAUUGUUGGGUUUUUCUCUGUAUGUAUUAUUGAAGGGUCUACCUUACAAUAUAUAGCACCUUGAGGUGACUUUGAAGCUGUAUAAAUAAAAAUGAAUUAAAAACUUUCCUGUUCUUAGCUAAACGGAACACUGAGGUUACAUCUGUGUGGGGAAAAAAGAAAAAAAAAAAAAUCACAGUAAAUCAGCAGUUUCUGAAAUACUCUGGCACCGACAUCCAUACCAUGUUGAAAGGCACUUAAAUCACUCUCUCCCCCUUUUUUUUUUAACCAUUUCAAUGCUCAUCUUGAACUUCAUCAGGUCAUCUUCACCAUGUCUACAGUCUUAAAUGUAUCAAGUUGUGACUGACUGAUUAGAUAUUUGCAUUGAAUUUUUUUUUUUUUUUUUUUCCUCAGAGCAGUGAGCGGCAGAAAAGAACUGCAGAAACUUGAACUGCUGUCAUCUCAGAAACAGACAUUUAGAUAUUUGGGUUUUCUUGCUGCAACACUGUAUCUGAGUAUUUAAUGAAGAUUCCUUCCGUUUUGAACUAAAUAUAAGGAAAUAAAUAAAUGCCCUCCUGUCUUGAUACCUUGACUACUUCUGCCUUAUUCUAAGAAUGUGUUGUGCUGCAUUCAUUUGACUUGAAAUUUCUAUAAUAACAAAACAUACUGAAAAGAGAUCACGGUGUGAAUAAGCCAUUUAGAAGCAGUCGCUAGUUAUCCAUUCAUCACCGUGGCCGAUUGCCAAAAGGCACUUUUAGACUUCUGUUUUAUUGAUUUUUUUUUUAAGACAUUUUGUGACCACAGUAACACUAAAGGAGAUUGAUGUGUAACACCGCACAGUAAAAGGGUGCUGUUCUUCGAGUGCAAAUGGAGCUAAAGCUUUCACAGUUUCUCAAAAUGACCAACGGUGGAACGAGUUGGAGGCGGAAGUCAAAUCAUUGGCUUCCAGCAAGUGCAUUUAUGCUCUGUACAGGGAGAAUAGCUACAACUAAUCAGGAAUGUUGACACUCGAGAGGUAGAGUCAGGAUUUAUGGCAGCUGUGGUAGUAAUUAAUUUCAAUGUUAUUUUUUGACAGGAAAUAGUGUCAUUACAACAGUAUGUGUUCCAAUAGCUACAGAGAUUUUUUAUUAUAACGGUACAGAAUAUCAAUUAUUUAUACCUCAUAUUUAUGCAGCACAUGUGGGUGUUUUGUGUGUUUUUCUCUUUUAUGGUGACACUGACCUUAUGACCAUCCCACAGGGAUAACAGCCAAGGAUUGAAGGGAGCGAUAUGUGACAUAACAGGAAAACGUUCCUCCCUUGUGAAUUUUUUCUCUCGUUUCUCUGUAUGAGUUUUUAGGAUAGCGCCUUUUGUUCACACAAGUUCUGAAACAGUCUUUGUUCUACCUGUUCCCUUAUUUGUAAACAAAUCUGCGACCCUGAUGAACUCGUCCUCUUUUUUUUUUUUCCUUUGUUCGGUUCACAAAUAUAAGAAUUUGACAUGAUUUUUUUCUUCAUUCUUUUUUACCAUUGCUUUGUAUUAAGGAAUGAAUUGAAUCGUUUCUAUUUUUACGACCCUGGUUUUCAUGUCAACGAUUAUUAAGCUCUGUGCUGUUUUUUUUUUUCCAUUCUUGCUUUUUAAGUUGUCAAGGAAAAGUGAGUAGGGGGCAACCAUGCUCUCCUGCAUAAUGUGACGGGCAUAAAGUGACAAACGCACACAAAUCGCAUCCCUUUAUGCUGGUAAGGCAACUGCCUUAGCGUCUACACGUCCAACAAUUAAUUUUCUUAUUACAAAAAAAAAAAAAAAUGAUGAAAUCCACUAGAUGCCAAUGAUGACAAAACCAAUCAAUAAUACCCAUUUACUGGACAAUCCAUUCCAAUCAUGUACCUGUUUGGCAAAGACCUUUCAAAUAUGUUUUUUUGCUAAAGCAAACCUAAAAUAACAGCUGAAAAAAGGCACACAGUACGAAAUGAAACAACACUGCUCCACUUAAGACCGUGUCGUCAGUCUAAGCUAUCAAUGAGGCAUUUCGACUGCAAGUAUAGGAAGAAAGGAAGUGGGUAGCAAGCAGUGUUGGGCAAGUUACUUUGAAAAGGUAAUUAAUUAUAGUUACUAGUUACUUCUUCAAAAAA
ensembl:lncRNA